UUUUCUCUUUCUCUGUGAAUUUCUUGAGAGCACAGACUACAUUCUGCUUAACUUUUUAUCCCCAGCUUUCAGCACAGUGCCUGGCUGCUUUGGCGUCUCCAAGUACCUGACCUCAGCUCAACCUGUCUUGGGUUUUCUUCUCCUCCCUGACAUUGACAACCCAGCCCUCCUAGGCACAGAGAGAUGGAGCUGAGUGUGGUUUUCCUGAAAUAAAGCUUGCAUUAUGAGAGGGAAUAAACAGAAGAAAAAAAUAUACAGAGGACCAAAGUGGAUGAGCCCUGCUGACCUUGAACACAAGAGGCAGCAUGCCAGGACCUUGCGUGAAGAGGCCUUUCUCACAGGGUGAAAAGCGCGCUUACCAGCCUGAGCCCUAGCGGCUCCAGCAAGAUGAACUUGGUACUGUGGAGAGAAGAGUGAUGGAGAAGGAAAGAGGAAGGGAGAUAAGGCCUCAGGGACUUCCAGUUUCCAGAGAAUAUAAAGCAGGCAGAAAAACGUGAAAAGGAGAGACUGGCCUAGCUUCUCAGCCCACGUCUUUCUCCCGUGCUGAUGCUUCCUGCCCUCGAACAUCAGACUCCAAGUUCUUCAGUUUUGGGACUCAGACUGUCUCUCGUUGCUCCUCAGCUUGCAGACAGCCUAUUGUGGGACCUUGUGAUCAUAGAUGGGAUCUCACUGUAUCACUCAUGCUGGAGUGCAGUGGCACAAUCAUAGCUCACUGCAGCCUUCAAACUCCUGGGCUCCAGCAAUCUUCACGCCUCAGCCUCCCGGGUAGCUAGGGCUACAGGCACGUGUCACCAUACUUGGCUAAAUUUUUGGCAGUUUUAAUGGUUUUAUUUAAGCAUAAAUAAAAUAUGCACAUGA
ensembl:lncRNA novel transcript, antisense to C7orf33 and CNTNAP2